rnacentral:tRNA from 1 species
GCUGGUGUGGCAGAGCCAGGAAAUUGCAAGAGGCCUAAAACCCCUAGUCAAACGUUCAAAUCGUUUCACCAUCA